rnacentral:rRNA from 1 species
AGCGAACGCUGGCGGCAGGCCUAACACAUGCAAGUCGAACGAACUCUUCGGAUUUAGUGGCGGACGUGGGAGUAACAGGUGGGAACGUGCCUUUAGGUUCGGAAUAACUCACGGAAACUUGUGCUAAUACCGAAAGUGCCCUUCGGGGGAAAGAUUUCUCGCCGUGAGAGCGGCACUCGUGUGAUUGGCUCGUGGGUGAGGUUAAGGCUUACCAAGGUGACGAUCAGGAGCUGGUCUGCGAGGCUGAUCACACACAUUGGGACUGAGACACCGUCCAAACUCCUGCGGGAGGCAGCAGUGGGGAAUCUUGCGCAAUGGGCGCAAGCCUGACGCAGCCAUGCCGCGUGAAUGACGAAGGUCUUAGGAUUGUAACAUUCUUUCACCGGGGACGAUAAUGACGGUACCCGGUGAAGAAGCCCCGGCUAACUUCGUG